GAUCAUGGCUCAGGAUGAACGCUAGCUACAGGCUUAACACAUGCAAGUCGAGGGGAAACGAUAUUGGAAGCUUGCUUUUGAUGGGCGUCGACCGGCGCACGGGUGAGUAACGCGUAUCCAACCUGCCCGUCACUUGGGAAUAACCUUGCGAAAGUAAGACUAAUGCCCAAUGAUAUCCCACGAAGGCAUCCGAAUGGGAUUAAAGAUUUAUCGGUGAUGGAUGGGGAUGCGUCUGAUUAG
rnacentral:rRNA from 1 species